GACGUAGGGCGCGAGCGUUGUCCGGAUUUAUUGGGCGUAAAGAGCUCGUAGGCGGCGUGUCGCGUCGGGAGUGAAAGACCGGGGCUUAACCCCGGUUCUGCUUCCGGUACGGGCAUGCUGGAGUGCGGUAGGGGAGAUUGGAAUUCCUGGUGUAGCGGUGGAAUGCGUAGAGAUCCGGAAGAACACCGGUGGCGAAGGCGGUCUGCUGGGGCAGUUGCUGACGCUGAUGCGCGACAGCGUGGGGAGCAAACGAGG
rnacentral:rRNA from 1 species